AAAGUCGUAACAAGGUCUCCGUUGGUGAACCAGCGGAGGGAUCAUUACAGAGUUACUACUCCAAACCCAUUGUGAACCUUACCUAUGUUCUGUUGCUUCGGCGGCGUGGUCAGCGCCCCCUCUGAAAAGAGGACGAUGCCCUCCCGCCGGCAGCACCAAACUCUUGAAUUUUACAGCGGAUUACAGUUCUGAUUUGAAAACAAAAAACAAGUUAAAACUUUCAACAACGGAUCUCUUGGUUCUGGCAUCGAUGAAGAACGCAGCGAAAUGCGAUAAGUAAUGUGAAUUGCAGAAUUCAGUGAAUCAUCGAAUCUUUGAACGCACAUUGCGCCCGGCAGUAAUCUGCCGGGCAUGCCUGUCCGAGCGUCAUUUCAACCCUCGAACCUCCGUUUCCUCAGGGAAGCUCAGGGUCGGUGUUGGGGCGCUACGGCGAGUCUUCGCGACCCUCCGUAGGCCCUGAAAUACAGUGGCGGUCCCGCCGCGGUUGCCUUCUGCGUAGUAAGUCUCUUUUGCAAGCUCGCAUUGGGUCCCGGCGGAGGCCGCCGUCAAACCACCUAUAA
rnacentral:rRNA from 1 species